rnacentral:rRNA from 1 species
UGCAGUCGAGCGGUAGAGAGAAGCUUGCUUCUCUUGAGAGCGGCGGACGGGUGAGUAAAGCCUAGGAAUCUGCCUGGUAGUGGGGGAUAACGUUCGGAAACGGACGCUAAUACCGCAUACGUCCUACGGGAGAAAGCAGGGGACCUUCGGGCCUUGCGCUAUCAGAUGAGCCUAGGUCGGAUUAGCUAGUUGGUGAGGUAAUGGCUCACCAAGGCGACGAUCCGUAACUGGUCUGAGAGGAUGAUCAGUCACACUGGAACUGAGACACGGUCCAGACUCCUACGGGAGGCAGCAGUGGGGAAUAUUGGACAAUGGGCGAAAGCCUGAUCCAGCCAUGCCGCGUGUGUGAAGAAGGUCUUCGGAUUGUAAAGCACUUUAAGUUGGGAGGAAGGGCAGUUACCUAAUACGUGAUUGUUUUGACGUUACCGACAGAAUAAGCACCGGCUAACUCUGUGCC